rnacentral:rRNA from 1 species
AUACAGAGGGUGCAAGCGUUAUUCGGAAUUACUGGGCGUAAAGCGCGCGUAGGCGGAUGAUUAAGUCAGUUGUGAAAGCCCUGGGCUCAACCUAGGAACUGCAUCUGAUACUGGUCGUCUAGAGUUUAAGAGAGGGAAGUGGAAUUCCAGGUGUAGCAGUGAAAUGCGUAGAUAUCUGGAGGAACAUCAGUGGCGAAGGCGACUUCCUGGCUUAAACCUGACGCUGAGGUGCGAAAGCGUGGGUAGCGAACGGGAUUAGAAACCCUAGUAGUCC